rnacentral:rRNA from 1 species
UGGCUCAGGAUGAACGCUAGCGACAGGCUUAACACAUGCAAGUCGAGGGGCAGCGAGGGAGUGCUUGCACUUCUGUCGGCGACCGGCGCACGGGUGAGUAACACGUAUGCAACCUGCCCUUGUCAGGGGGAUAAGCGAGGGAAACCUCGUCUAAUACCGCAUAUAUGGUUUUGAGGCAUCUCUUAAUCAGGAAAGAAUUAUCGGACAAGGAUGGGCAUGCGGGACAUUAGGUAGUUGGGGGUGUAACGGACCACCAAGCCGACGAUGUCUAGGGGUUCUGNGAAAAAGGAAGGUCCCCCACACUGGUACUGAGACACGGACCAGACUCCUACGGGAGGCAGCAGUGAGGAAUAUUGGUCAAUGGGCGAGAGCCUGAACCAGCCAAGUCGCGUGAGGGAAGACGGUACUAAGUAUUGUAAACCUCUUUUGUCAGGGAACAAAGAGACCACGUGUGGUAAGAUGAGUGUACCUGAAGAAAAAGCAUCGGCUAACUCCGUG